UACAGAGGGUGCAAGCGUUGCUCGGAAUCACUGGGCGUAAAGCGCACGUAGGCGGAUCUUUAAGUCAGGGGUGAAAUCCUGGAGCUCAACUCCAGAACUGCCUUUGAUACUGGGGAUCUCGAGUCCGGGAGAGGUGAGUGGAACUCCGAGUGUAGAGGUGAAAUUCGUAGAUAUUCGGAAGAACACCAGUGGCGAAGGCGGCUCACUGGCCCGGUACUGACGCUGAGGUGCGAAAGCGUGGGGAGCAAACAGG
rnacentral:rRNA from 1 species